UUGGCCUACGGGACGCAGCAGUGGGGGAUAUUGCACAAUGGGGGGAACCCUGAUGCAGCGACGCCGCGUGGGUGAAGAAGCGCCUCGGCGCGUAAAGCCCUGUCAGCAGGGAAGAAAAUGACGGUACCUGAAGAAGAAGCCCCGGCUAACUACGUGCCAGCAGCCGCGGUAAUACGUAGGGGGCAAGCGUUAUCCGGAUUUACUGGGUGUAAAGGGAGCGUAGACGGUGAGACAAGUCUGAAGUGAAAGCCCGGGGCUCAACCCCGGGACUGCUUUGGAAACUGCCUGACUGGAGUGCUGGAGAG
rnacentral:rRNA from 1 species